rnacentral:rRNA from 1 species
GAUGAACGCUGGCGGCGUGCUUAACACAUGCAAGUCGAACGAGAAAUGUAGACGGAAACCUUCGGGCGGAAGCCUUCAUUUCGAGUGGCGGACGGGUGAGUAACGCGUGGGUAACCUGCCUCAUACAGGGGGAUAACAGUUGGAAACGACUGUUAAUACCGCAUAAGACCACAGCAUCGCAUGAUGCGGGGGUAAAAACUCCGGUGGUAUGAGAUGGACCCGCGUUCGAUUAGCCAGUUGGCGGGGUAACGGCCCACCAAAGCGACGAUCCAUAGCCGAUCUGAGAGGAUGACCGGCCACAUUGGGACUGAGACACGGCCCAAACUCCUACGGGAGGCAGCAGUGGGGAAUAUUGCACAAUGGGGGAAACCCUGAUGCAGCGACGCCGCGUGAGUGAAGAAGUACUUCGGUAUGUAAAGCUCUAUCAGCAGGGAAGAAAAUGACGGUACCUGAGGAAGAAGCCCCGGCUAACUACGUG